rnacentral:tRNA from 1 species
GGGAGUCUGGCCGAGUGGUUAAGGCGCUGUGUUUAGGAACUCGGGUGUUUCCAUUCGAAUCUUAAAUCCCGCAGUGGGAAACCGCGCAGGUUCGAAUCCUGCGGCUCUCA